AAAAAAAUUUAAACCCUGCAGAGAAUUGAGAACUCGGGAGCCGGCUGACCAUGCCUCUCUUCCCAUAGGACAUCCGAAGACGGCGCCCUCUUUAAUUUAGUUACAUUAAGAGCUCCAGCUGAGACCAAAACAGCCCCCUCGGCCACCUACCAACCGCAUUGGGCCGGUGCCAGGCAUUUCACACCCAUCCUCACUGAUCCUCGGGAGAGCCCAUUUUACAGAUGGGGGCACCAAGGCACACACAGGCUCACCAGCUUCCAGAUUUGUGUGCCCAGGUGUCGUGGUGGAAAGUCCAUCGCCCAUAAGCACAGAAGGCAUGUGAAAUGGCAGGCGGUGUCCACCUGGCGGUGUGUGAGCGCCCGAUGGACGGAGGCGCCCGUGCGUCCUCGGACAUUCUGCCGAGCGCGGCUAAGCCAAGAACGUCUCUGGCCUCAAGCCAUUUCCAUAUGGGCCCUGAGUAGCAGUCUGAACUGUCCCGACUUACAAAUCCUUUAACUAACAAGUGGCAAUAACCUGCACGACUUUUUAAUGUUCCAUUUAUUCUUCCAAGCGUCUGUGGUUCGGAGAUCUAGAAUCGCGGUGCUCCUGAGUGCCGAGAACAUGACAUAACGGAGGGAAGAAACGCUCCACAGCUUUGCCAGCCAGGGAUGACGUACAAGUUUCAGCAGGCUCAGCGGAGUUAAAGUAAUCUCUGCCCCCGGCGUGGGGCUCAAACCCACAACCCCGAGAUCAAGAGCGGCACGCGAGCGGACCCAGCAACGCACUUCCGCCAAAGCCCUCCACGGCGGGGCCGACCACACGACGGUAAUUUUAAGCUUUUAAAACAUUAGCGCAAUUAUUUAUUUAUUUUAUUAUGUUUCAUUUUAGAGAGGGCACGCGCGCGUGUGUGAGCGGGGGAGAGAGGCAGAGAGAAAGGGAGAGAGGGUCUUAAGCAGGCUCCACGCCCAGAGCAGAGCCCGACGCAGGGCCCUGACCCGAGCCGAUGCAAGAGUCGGACGCUCGACCGACCGAGCCACCCAGGUGCCCCUGUCAUUGUUUAAGUUAUAAAAUAACAUCUGCCAUAGUAGACUGUCUUCAAGGCACCCAUCCCACGGCUUCACUCCUCAACGCCCGACUUUGUUCAGGCAUUUGCCCCCGUCCACGUUAUGGGGCCCCAGGGCCACCUCCGGCAGGUAGACCAGGUGAGUCUAAGGCAUCCCUUCUCCCACAGACAGAUUUUUUUUUAAUUUUAUUUUUACAUUUAUUUAUUUUUUUUGAGAGACAAAGUGAGAGUGGGGGAGGGGCAGAGAGAGAGGGAGACGCAGAAUCCGAAGCAGGCUCCAGGCUCCAAGCCAUCGGCACAGAGCCCGACGCGGGGCUCGAACUUGUGAACCGCGGGAGCGUGACCUGAGCCGAAGUCGGAGGCUCAAUCGACUGAGCCCCCCGGGCGCCCCUCCCACGGACAGAUUUGGGAGUGAGCGUGUCACCCAGUUGUGACCAAUGAGACCUGCAGGGAAGUCUGCCAGGGGGUGCCGGAAGGGUUCCCGCACUCUGAAAAGGGAGACACGGAAACAGAAGUCCCCUAUGUCUGUGUCUGGCCCUGUUGUGCCUGCUCGGGUCCCUGAGGCUGCUACCAUUGGGCCGUGUGAAUAAGAGGAGCCAGCGUUUGGUGGGGAGGAUGCUGGGGCCUCAGGGAGGAGGUGGAAUAAGCAGAGGGAGUCUCUGGUGAUGUGUCCUUGCCACGCGUGGGGCCCUCCUUCUGCCAGACAUCCAGUCCCGGGAACCCAUCGGCGUCCUCACCGGGAGGCCCAGUUUCACGCCACGUGUUCUGUUCCUCGUAGCGAAAAGCCACCCGAGCGCAGGCUCAACUUAGAAACGUGUUUAAAGGCGGACGCACAUACAGAAGAAAAAUCACCUGCAACGCCACCAGGCCGUCAUAACCACAACGUAGGUUUUGGUGACUUCCCGUCGCCCUUUGGUGGUGCCCAUUUCGAUGCGUCAUUGCCUAAGGGCGAUGCUCGCUGCCUGGGGAAAAAAUUCCAACGGAGCGGUGGCCGAAUGCAGAAAGCGAGCGCCGAGCUGCCGUAACCCCUCCCUCUCGGUGGCGGACCCUUUGCGGUGUUUUCCGAGGCCUGAGCUGCCUGCCCCUGACUCAUGAAGACCCACAUGGUCUGUUGAGCCCGCGGGUAAACUGCACUUUUUUUUUUUAAUUUUUUUUUUAAUGUUUAUUUAUUUUU